GAUGAACGCUGGCGGCGUGCCUAAUACAUGCAAGUCGAGCGAACAGACGAGGAGCUUGCUCCUCUGACGUUAGCGGCGGACGGGUGUGUAACACGUGGAUAACCUACCUAUAAGACUGGGAUAACUUCGGGAAACCGGAGCUAAUACCGGAUAAUAUAUUGAACCGCAUGGUUCAAUAGUGAAAGACGGUUUUGCUGUCACUUAUAGAUGGAUCCGCGCCGCAUUAGCUAGUUGGUAAGGUAACGGCUUACCAAGGCAACGAUGCGUAGCCGACCUGAGAGGGUGAUCGGCCACACUGGAACUGAGACACGGUCCAGACUCCUACGGGAGGCAGCAGUAGGGAAUCUUCCGCAAUGGGCGAAAGCUUGACGGAGCAACGCCGCGUGAGUGAUGAAGGUCUUCGGAUCGUAAAACUCUGUUAUUAGGGAAGAACAAAUGUGUAAGUAACUAUGCACGUCUUGACGGUACCUAAUCAGAAAGCCACGGCUAACUACGUG
rnacentral:rRNA from 1 species